CUGACGGCGCUAACAGCACCACGUGACUCGCCUCCACUUGGGUGCUUCUGCUGAUAUGAGUGGGUGAGACGUAUACAGAUUGGGAUGCACUUUUACUGGCAGGUGACCAUGACGCCUCGCAUUUAAGCUGUGAAGUGAAGGACAGGGACGACAACACCACAGCAACAUUCUCGUCACCUGCAACGGUGGUCUCCCUUGGCACAAGGCGAGGUGCCGCCCGUCAGACUGGUGUUAGAUGGGCUGCUCUGAAGAUUUCAUCCCGUGUGAUCGAUGUCGAUGGAAAAACUAUACUUUUGACUUUGUUCAAAAUGCGGGAGUGAGCGACAAACACGACAACCUUUCUGUUGAAUUUGGCUCAGUUACAGUUAAGAUGUCUGUUAAAAGUGGAUCUCAUCUUUUCCGUUCUGAUUUAUGACCUUUUCUUACAGAGGGUUAUCAUUGCUUCUGUAAAUAUAAACACCUUACGACAGCGAAUCUGUUUCCGUACUGAUGCAGCAGUAGCUGUGAUAGCAUCUUAAGAAAGCGCAGAGGCAGGAAAUGGAUAAUAGCUUUAAUUAUAAAUAAUUGUGAUCUGUAAAAACAAUUCCUUCAGACUCUGUGCUUCAUGAACUACACCGUGUAAACACGAGGGGGUAGACAACGAUUCCCUCACACCCCUAUACGUGCCAUGGUGUUCGUGACACACCUAUACCUGCUCUCCCCUUCUCCCUUCACACUUACUGCUAAUCGUGUUGGCACCUGUCCAGUACCUGCAAAUUUCUGUUGCCCGUUACGUGUGUGUGUGUGUGAGACUCACAAGAAAGAUAACUGAUCUGUAACACACGGAGGAAAUAUGCUGGGUAUACAUGUGCACUGAUGGGGAGUACCCUCAAAUUAAAUGUGUCCGCCAUCCAA